AGCAGCCGCGGUAAUUCCAGCUCCAAUAGCGUAUAUUAAAGUUGUUGCAGUUAAAAAGCUCGUAGCUGAAUUUCGGAAUCGACGGAUUGGUCGCGCCUUCGGUGUGUACUGGUCUUGCCGGUUUCUCCCUUCUGACGAACCACGAUGUCAUUAAUUUGGUGUCGUGGGAAAUCAGGACUGUUACUUUGGAAAAAUUAGAGUGUUUAAAGCAAGCAUUAGCUUGAAUACAUUAGCAUGGAAUAAUGAAAUAGGACGUUUGAUCCUAUUUCGUUGGUUUCUAGGAUCGACGUAAUGAUUAAUAGGGAUAGUUGGGGGCAUUAGUAUUCAAUUGUCAGAGGUGAAAUUCUUGGAUUUAUUGAAGACUAACUACUGCGAAAGCAUUUGCCAAGGAUGUUUUCAUUAAUCAAGAACGAAAGUUAGGGGAUCGAAGACGAUCAGAUACCGUCGUAGUCUUAACCAUAAACUAUGCCGACUAGGGAUCGGAUGAUGUUAAUUUUUAAUGACUUCAUUGGCGCCUUAA
rnacentral:rRNA from 1 species